AGAGAGAGACAUGCGCGCAUAUCAAUAAGCGGAGGAAAAGGAAACUAACAAGGAUUCCCCUAGUAACGGCGAGUGAAGCGGGAAGAGCUCAAAUUUGAAAUCUUAAAGGGUUUCCCUUUACGAAUUGUAGUUUAAAGAAGUGUUUUCUGUUGAGGUUUUGGUAAAAGUUCUUUGGAAUAGGACAUCAUAGAGGGUGAGAAUCCCGUAUUUGACCUUUACUUUCAACUUUGUGAUACACUUUCAAAGAGUCGGAUUGUUUGGGAAUGCAGUCCAAAAUGGGUGGUAAAUUUCAUCUAAAGCUAAAUAUUGGCGAGAGGACCGAUAGCGAACAAGUACCGUGAGGGAAAGAUGAAAAGAACUUUGAAAAGAGAGUUAAACAGUACGUGAAAUUGUCAAAAGGGAAGCGUUUGACACCAGUGUUGUUUUUCUGAAAAUCAAUUAAAGAACUGUUUAUGCUAAGCUGUUUAGACUUUAUCAGCUAACUGUUUAGUUUUGAGCUUUUCUUUAAUGCACUUUUCAGUUAACAAGUCAACAUCAAUUUCUUUUGCUGUAAAAAAGCUUGAGGAAGGUGGCUUGAGAUUCGUCUUAAGUGUUUAUAGCCUCUUGCCUAUGCAGUCGGAGAGAUUGAGGUCUGCAGCGUAGAUCCUUCGGGGCUAAAUGCAUUUGUGCUAAGUUAUAGCAUUUUAUAGACAACUUGUUGACUAUGAUUUGUCUUGUAGCUUACUCGCUUAUGUUAUUUUACCUACGCUUAGGAUGUUGACGCAUGAGAUAUCGC
rnacentral:rRNA from 1 species